AUGGCCAUACCACCCUGAACGCGCCUAAUCUCGUCUGAUCUUGGAAGAUAAGGAAGGUCGGACCUGGUUAGUAUUUGGAUGGGGAGAUGGGGUCUCAUU
rnacentral:rRNA from 1 species